GAUUAACGCUGGCGGCGUGCAUAACACAUGCAAGUCGAACGAUGAAACUCUAAUGAUCCCUUCGGGGAGAAUUAAAGCGGAUUAGUGGCGAACUGGUUAGUCACGCCUGAGUAACCUGCCUUACUCAAGGGGCUAGCCCUUGGACACGAAGAAUAAUACCCUUUAAAACCAUAAAAGCACAUGCAACUAUGGUCAAGGUGAUAGCGGUGUAAGAUGGACUUGCGUCUGAUUAGCUAGUUGGUGAGAUAAAAGACCACCAGGGCAACGAGCAGUAGCGGGCUUGAGAGAGGGUACGGCGGCACUGGGACUGGGACAAGGCCCAGACGGCAGGGAGAGGCAGCAGAGGGGAAAUAUGGAGAGGGGGCGAAACGCAGAUGCAGCGACGCCGCGAGAUUGAGAAGGCGUUCGGGUUGUAAAAAUCUUUUGUAUAGGAAGAAAAUGACAGUACUAGACGAAUAAGGUCCGGCUAAUUACGUG
rnacentral:rRNA from 1 species